CCCUUCGAUAAUUCCCACUUCCCUAUAAAGCUCUCUUAGUCGUGGCGCUGCAUAAAGUAUAACGCUCUGCUCUAAUUUCAUCUUCAUCUUCAUCUUCAUCGUCUCUUUUUUCUCUCUUCUAAAACUUGGGAGAAGAAAGCAACAUUAUUUUUUAAGCCAACCAGCAGAAGGGCUUCUCUCAUUUGGCAGGCAAAUGACGAUAAUGCAACUUCACCCAUCACUCCUGUCCUGCCAAAGGAGAGUUGCCCUCCAUCUGGUUUUGGCUUACUUCUUUCUACUGCAUGCGCUAAUUUAACCAUAACUUUUAACCUUCUUCUUCUUUGCAGUCUCCUAUCUCCAUUGAUGCUACUCUACUUUUUAGUAAAGGAUGAGAAGUUUGAAAUUAUUCCAUUUAUAUUAGCCCCUUCUGGACCUCUCUAAUUUCAUGGAUUGUUAUGCAACUGCAAAGUUGGAGUUCUCUUAGCAUCUUGAGUGGUAACAGGGAGUUGUAGAUAAAAUUCUUCCCACACGACCGAAAGAGGACCCUUGACUAUCUAACACCCAAAAACCCCAAAAUUAAUUUAGCAUAAUCUUGAGAGAAAGAUUAAAGGAUGGAUUACCUUGUUGAUCGAAUACCAAGAGGUGAGGAAAACUAAUUUCCUAUUCAAAGUUGAACACUUCAGAAGAAGGUUGAUCAAACCUAACUUCAAUGCUACAAACUUGCAAUUGCAACAUGAACCAAGAAUUGCAAACAAGAUGAGGGUGUCUGUCGUACCACUAUUUCUCAAUUCUUCUGACGCUGUUGUCUGAGGACCUUGAGGUACAUGCCUUAACAUCUAUGAAAGAGUGAUUCGACCGACCAUGUACCUUAAGGUCCUCGACAUUGGAAAUAAUAUUAUAAUUAUCACUUCACCUCACCCUACAAUAUAAUAGUACUACUCUUUGAUGUUUAAAGCGAAAUGUAUCUCUCAGGAACUGAUUUCUAAGGGCGAGAGGUUUUUGGCAAUUGGUUCCAUCCCUUUCCCGAAUUAAGGAUGAUAGUACUUAAUUGAGUUUAGUUAUUACUCGGAAGUAUUUACUAACUACAAAUGUGGGUAUAAAGAUUUUGAAUUUUUUACUUUGA